rnacentral:rRNA from 1 species
CCUACGGGUGACAGCAGUGGGGAAUAUUGGGCAAUGGGCGCAAGCCUGACCCAGCAACGCCGCGUGAAGGAAGAAGGCUUUCGGGUUGUAAACUUCUUUUAUCAGGGACGAAGCAAGUGACGGUACCUGAUGAAUAAGCCACGUCUAACUACGUGCCAGCAGCCGCGGUAAUACGGAGGUGGCGAGCGUUAUCCGGAUUUACUGGGUGUAAAGGGCGCGUAGGCGGGAAAGCAAGUCAGAUGUGAAAACCAUGGGCUCAACCUGGAGUCUGCAUUUGAAACUGUUUUUCUUGAGUACUGGGGAGGCAGACGGAAUUCCUAGUGUAGCGGUGAAAUGCGUAGAUAUUAGGAGGAACACCAGUGGCGAAGGCGGUCUGCUAGACAGCAACUGACGCUGAGGCGCGAAAGCGUGGGGAGCAAACAGGAUUAGAUACCCUAGUAGUC